UACGUAGGGUGCAAGCGUUUAAUCGGAAUUACUGGGCGUAAAGCGUGCGCAGGCGGUUUUGUAAGUCAGAUGUGAAAAUCCCCGGGCUUAACCUGGGAACUGCGUUUGAAACUACAAGGCUAGAGUGUGGCAGAGGGGGGUGGAAUUCCACGUGUAGCAGUGAAAUGCGUAGAGAUGCGGAGGAACACCGAUGGCGAAGGCAGCCCCCCUGGGCUAGCACUGACGCUCAGGCACGAAAGCGUGGGGAGCAAACAGG
rnacentral:rRNA from 1 species